rnacentral:tRNA from 1 species
GCUCCUGUGGCGCAAUCGGUUAGCGCGCGGUACUUAUAAUGCCGAGGUUGUGAGUUCGAGCCUCACCUGGAGCA